rnacentral:tRNA from 1 species
CGGCGCGGUCGCCGGCGGCCAGUACGGCUUCGGCUCGGCGCUGGCCGCGGUGAUCUUCGGCAUCGGCGCGGGACUCGUCCUGGACGAGUUCGCCCUGG